rnacentral:lncRNA from 1 species
CAAAAAUCGGCGGAAGAAUAAUAAUAACUAGAAAAAUUGCAUUUCCUUGCAGAAAAUGCGUGGAAAUGCUGAGUGCUGAAAGCUGAAAAAGCAAUGCUAAACUGCUAAUAAAACAUGGAGAAAGGUAUAAAUGUUAAGGCUGUUGAAGGAGUGAAAAAGAAAUAUAGGUUGGACAAUUGUUUAAUUGGUUGAAGGACAAAUAGUAUGAAUAUGCUCUAUAAAAGGAAAUUUUAUUCAUGCUGAAAGAGGCUAGAAAAAUGUCUAAAAUUGCACAAAGUUUGAAUGAAAAAGGAAAUUGCCUUAAAAGGCAGGAAGGUGAGAAGUGGAAUAAGUCUAAGUUUUUAUGUAUUAGAAAGGUUUGAAUCAGUUUGAAUGAGUUUAAAUUAGUUAGAAAAAUUAAAUGAUAAAUCAUCACCGAGUGACUUAUAAAAGUGAAAAAUUUAAAUGAAUAUAAAUCUGAAUACACUCCAUAGUGUCCUCAAUGAGCUUAAAUUUUAAAGUCCUGAAUGGUUUCUGUAGGUCAAAGGUCAUGUGAGGACAUAGGGGCUGACGUUUUUUCAAACGCUCUAGGAAAGGGUUUUAAGUGUCAUCCCCAGUGCUAUGUGUACUGAGCUUGGCUUCAUGUGUCUCAUAUGGCCAUUAGAAGCAGCUUUCCAGUCAGCUGUGUGUCUCCAGGUGCACAAAUUGGUUGCCAUGGGGACCUUGGAUGCAUGACUUUAGCAGGAGAAAGAAGGCUUGAAGCUAAGGAAACAGGACUCCAAGUAGGCCCUGACGCUCAUCCUCUGUAUAUAUAUUAAUAAGGAGCUUGUGAGAACACAAGACUCUGCUGAACACAUUAAUACAAUUUAUUAUCACAAUCCUCAAAACACCCCAUAAUAUCUUCAGUGAGCUGAAUAUUUGAAGCCCAGAAUGGUUUCUGUAGCUCAAAGUUUGUGGGUGGAGAUAGGUGGCGAAGCAGACACAUAUCAACUGUGUGUACAAGCAGCUCAACUGCAAGGUAGACCUCAUAAAGCAACAAGUACAAGAAUGUGUGUGUGUGUGUGUGUGUGUCUCGUUAAUGACUGCAUCCUAAACAGCUGUGAGAUCAAAGGCAAAUCACUAACCUACUGUUUGACUGAGAGGUGCUGAACUGCAGUGAACUUAGGGCCUGUGAACUUCUUCACAUAGCGUGAUUUCCUUAAAUCCCAGAAUGAAAAUAAGAACAUUGUACGAAUCCUCCGUCCUUCAUGAACACAAUGAUGUGUUUUUUAUGUCUCUACUCCGAAAAAUGUGGCCACAACAGCGAGUUAAAAAGUCUGAGCCUGAGUGGCGAUAAGGAUUUUCUUGGAGAAAAAAUACAUUAGGGCCAAUGGGGAGAGAUUUCCGCCUAUUUGGACAGUUGGUCACCUGCUGGCCAAGGGGUAGGAUUUAAUGAUUUGAAACCUCUUUUGUGAGAAGCAGGACACAUAUACCUCCAUUUUGAUGUAUUUUUUAUGGCUGUGGAGUGAGAUUUGUGGGCGUGGGAGCGAUAUAUUCAAGCGAGGUUCUGUCGAUCAGGGAGGAGGUCUGCACUCUAGCUUUUCAAAUCCUCACUCUAGCCUCUCCAAUACACCCCUAUUGUAAAGCCUGAAAUUUGCUGAAAACCACAAGUUGCAUAAAGCUAAACUGUGGAAAAACUGUAAAAGAUAGCACAAAGAGGUUAAUACAACAUCAAUAGUCGACAAGACAAUGAACAUUUUAAAGCAAAAAUGAGGUCUCUAGGUGAAAGUAUGCUGAAGUUAUAAGGCUUAGAAGGUGGACGAAUAACAGGAAGAAGUGGAAGAUUUCCCCAUUCAUUCCUAUGGGAAAAAAAGUUUGGCACAAAAAGUGAAAAAUAAUAAAAAGUACAAAGGAUAGAAAGGAAAAAAAUACAAGCACACAUGUCCUGAUGGAGUGGAAUAGUUUAAAGUUUAAACGGUUGAAAUCGGACAAAUUUUGAAGGAGGAGAAGCGGUCCAAAGAAAUGUAUGGGGAGAGUGUUAAGUAUAAUACUAGAAAAAUUGCAUUUCCUUGCAGAAAAUGCGUGGAAAUGCUGAGUGCUGAAAGCUGAAAAAGCAAUGCUAAACUGCUAAUAAAACAUGGAGAAAGGUAUAAAUGUUAAAGCUGUUGAAGGGGUGAAAAAGAAAUAUAAGUUGGAUAAUGGUCUAAUUGGUUGAAGGACAAAUAGUAUGAAUAUGCUCUAUAAAUGGAAGUUUUAUUCAUGCUGAAAGAGGCUAGAAAAAUGUCUACAAUUGCACAAAGUUUGAAUGAAGAAGGAAACUUCCUUAAAAGGCAGGAAGGUGAGAAGUGGCAUAAGUUUAAGUUGUAGUACUAGAAGUAGUAUAAUAGGUCAAGUCGUGAUACUAGUAGUCAUGUCAGCAGUAGAAGUAGUUUGAGAAUAAAAGAAGUAUAAGUCACAAUAGUAGAGAAAGUAGAAAUAGGAGCAAUAGCAGUUGAAGUAGAGGGGAUAGUACUAGUUUAAUUGACAUUAGCGGUAGUUGUCGUACUUGAGGUAGGAUUUUGUUUGAAGGAUGGAGUAAUGCAUAAAUAUUAAAACUUAUUUCAAACAGGGAAAAUUGAAAUAAUUAAAAAUCCUCAAGAAUCAGAAAGUUUUUAAGUAUUAGAAAGGUUUGAAUCAGUUUGAAUGAGUUUCAAUUAGUUUGAAAAAAUAAAUGAUAAAUCAUCACUGAGUGACUUUAAAAUGUGAAAAAUUUAAAUGAAUAUAAAUCCUAAAUACACCCCAUAAUGUCCUCAAUGAGCUUAAAUUUUAAAGCCCUGAAUGGUUUCUGUAGGUCAAAGGUCAUGUGAGGAGAUAGGGGCUGAAGUUUUUUCAAGCGCUCUAGGAAAGGGUUUUAAGUGUCAUCCCCAGUGCUGUGUGUACUGAGCCUGGCUUCAUGUGUCUCAUAUGGCCAUUAGAAGCAGCUUUCCAGUCAGCUGUGUGUCUCCAGGUGCACAAGUUGGUUGCCAUGGGGACCUUGGAUGCAUAACUAUAGCAGGAGAAAGAAGGCUUGAAGCUAAAGAAACAGGACUCCAAGUAGGCCCUGACGCUCACCCUCUGUAUAUAUUCAUAAGGAGCUUGUGAGAACACAAGACUCUGCUGAACACAUUAAUACAAUUUAUUAUCACAAUCCUCAAAACACCCCAUAAUAUCUUCAAUGAGCUGAAUUUUUGAAGCCCAGAAUGGUUUCUGUAGCUCAAAGUUUGUGGGUGGAGAUAGGUGGUAAAGCAGACACAUAUUAACUGUGUGUAAAAGCAGCUGAACUGCAAGGUGGACCUCAAAAAGCAACAAGUACAAGAAUGUGUGUGCGUGUGUGUGUGUGUGUGUGUCUCGUUAAUGACUGCAUCCUAAACAGCUGUGAGAUCAAAGGCAAAUCACUGACCUACUGUUUGACUGAGAGGUGCUGAACUGCAGUGAAUUAAGGGUUCUGAACUUCUUCACAUAGCACGAUUUCCUUAAGUCCCAGAAUGAAAAUAAGAACAUCGUACAAAUCCUCCGCCCUUCAUGAACACAAUGAUGUGUUUUUCAUGUCUGUACUCCGAAAAAUGUGGCCACAACAGCGAGUUAAAAAAGUCUGAGCCUGAGUGGCGAUAAGGAUUUUCUUGGAGAAAAAAUACAUUAGAGCCAAUGGGGAGAGAUUUCCGCCUAUUUGGACAGUUGGUCACCUGCUGGCCAAGGGGUAAGAUUUAAUGAUUUGAAACCUCUUUUGUGAGAAGCAGGACACAUAUACCUCCAUUUUGAUGUAUUUUUUAUGGCUGUGGAGUGAGAUUUGUGGGCGUGGGAGCGAUAUAUUCGAGCGAGGUUCUGUCGAUCAGAGAGGAGGUCUGCACUCUAGCUUUUCAAAUCAUCACUCUAGCCUCUCCAAUACACCCCUAUUAUAAAGCCUGAAAUUAGCUGAAAACCACAAGUUGCAUAAAGCUAAAUUGUGGAAAAACUGUAAAAGAUAGCACAAAAAGGUUAAUACAACAUCAAUAGUCGACAAGACAAUGAACAUUUUAAAGCAAAAAUGAGGUCUCUAGGUGAAAGUAUGCUGAAGUUAUAAGGCUUAGAAGGUGGACGAAUAACAGGAAGAAUUGGAAGAUUUCCCCAUUCAUUUCUAUGGGAAAAAAAGUUUGGCACAAAAAGUGAAAAAUAAUAAAAAGUAUAAAGGAUAGAAAAGAGAAAAGUAAUAGCCAUCAUGUCCUGAAGGAGUGGAAUAGUUUAAAGUUUGAACGGUUGAAAUCGGACAAAGUUUGAAGGAGGAGAAGCGGUCCAAAGAAACGUAUGGGGAGAGUGUUAAGUAUAAUACUAGAAAAAUUGCAUUUCCUUGCAGAAAAUGCGUGGAAAUGCUGAGUGCUGAAAGCUGAAAAAGCAAUGCUAAACUGCUAAUAAAACAUGGAGAAAUGUAUAAAUGUUAAAGCUGUUGAAGGGGUGUGAAAGAAAUGUAAGUUGGAUAAUUGAUUAAUUGGUUGAAGGACAAAUAGUAUGAAUAUGCUCUAUAAAAAGAAAUUUUAUUCAUGCUGAAAGAGGCUAGAAAAAUGUCUAAAAUUGCACAAAGUUUGAAUGAAGAAGGAAAUUGCCUCAAAAGGCAGGAAAGUGAGAAGUGGUAUAAGAUUAAUUUUUUAAGUAUUAGAAAGGUUUGAAUCAGUUUAAAUGAGUUCAAAUUAGUUUGAAUAAUUAAAUGAUAAAUCAUCACUGACUGACUUUUAAAAUGUGAAAAAUUUAAAUGAAUAACAAUCCUAAAUACACCCAAUAAUGUCCUCAAUGAGCUCAAAUUUUAAAGCCCUGAAUGGUUUCUGUAGGUCAAAGGUCAUGUGAGGAGAUAGGGGCUGAAGGUUUUUCAAGCGCUCUAGGAAAGGGUUUUAAGUGUCAUCCCCAGUGCUAUGUGUGCUGAGCCUAGCUUCAUGUGUCUCAUAUGGCCAUUAGAAGCAGCUUUCCAGUCAGCUGUGUGUCUCCAGGUGCACUAAUUGGUUGCCAUGGGGACCUUGGAUGCAUAACUAUAGCAGGAGAAAGAAGGCUUGAAGCUAAGGAAACAGGGCUCCAAGUAGGCCCUGACGCUCAUCCUCUGUAUCUAUUCCUGAUAAGGAGCUUGUGAGAACACAAGACUCUGCUAAACACAUUAAUACAAUUUAUUAUCACAAUCCUCAAAACACCCCAUAAUAUCUUCAAUGAGCUGAAUUUUAGAAGCCCAGAAUGGUUUCUGUAGCUCAAAGUUUGUGGGUGGAGAUAGGUGGCGAAGCAGACACAUAUUAACUGUGUGUACAAGCAGCUGAACUGCAAGGUAGACCUCAUAAAGCAACAAGUACAAGAAUGUGUGUGUGUGUGUGUGUGUGUCUCGUUAAUGACUGCAUCCUAAACAGCUGUAAGAUCAAAGCCAUGAACUGACCUAUUGUUUGAAUGGAGAAGCUGCUGAACUGCAGUGAAUUUAGGGUUCUGAACUUCUUCACAUAGCACGAUUUCCUUAAGUCCCAGAAUGAAAAUAAGAACAUCGUACAAAUCCUCCGCCCUUCAUGAACACAAUGAUGUGUUUUUCAUGUCUGUACUCCGAAAAAUGUCGCCACAACAGCGAGUUAAAAAAGUCUGAGCCUGAGUGGCGAUAAGGAUUUUCUUGGAGAAAAAAUACAUUAGAGCCAAUGGGGAGAGAUUUCCACCUAUUUGGACAGUUGGUCACCUGCUGGCCAAGGGGUAAGAUUUAAUGAUUUGAAACCUCUUUUGUGAGAAGCAGGACACAUAUACCUCCAUUUUGAUGUAUUUUUUAUGGCUGUGGAGUGAGAUUUGUGGGCGUGGGAGCGAUAUAUUCGAGCGAGGUUCUGUCGAUCAGAGAGGAGGUCUGCACUCUAGCUUUUCAAAUCAUCACUCUAGCCUCUCCAAUACACCCCUAUUAUAAAGCCUGAAAUUAGCUGAAAACCACAAGUUGCAUAAAGCUAAAUUGUGGAAAAACUGUAAAAGAUAGCACAAAAAGGUUAAUACAACAUCAAUAGUCGACAAGACAAUGAACAUUUUAAAGCAAAAAUGAGGUCUCUAGGUGAAAGUAUGCUGAAGUUAUAAGGCUUAGAAGGUGCACGAAUAACAGGAAGAAUUGGAAGAUUUCCCCAUUCAUUUCUAUGGGAAAAAAGUUUGGAACAAAAAGUGAAAAAUAAUAAAAAGUACAGAGGAUAGAAAGGAAAAAAAUACAAGCACACAUGUCCUGAUGGAGUGGAAUAGUUUAAAGUUUGAACGGUUGAAAUCGGACAAAGUUUGAAGGAGGAGAAGCGGUCCAAAGAAACGUAUGGGGAGAGUGUUAAGUAUAAUACUAGAAAAAUUGCAUUUCCUUUCAGAAAAUGCGUGGAAAUGCUGAGUGCUGAAAGCUGAAAAAGCAAUGCUAAACUGCUAAUAAAACAUGGAGAAAGGUAUAAAUGUUAAAGCUGUUGAAGGGGUGAAAAAGAAAUAUAAGUUGGAUAAUGGUCUAAUUGGUUGAAGGACAAAUAGUAUGAAUAUGCUCUAUAAAUGGAAGUUUUAUUCAUGCUGAAAGAGGCUAGAAAAAUGUCUACAAUUGCACAAAGUUUGAAUGAAGAAGGAAACUGCCUUAAAAGGCAGGAAGGUGAGAAGUGGCAUAAGUUUAAGUUGUAGUACUAGAAGUAGUAUAAUAGGUCAAGUCGUGAUACUAGUAGUCAUGUCAGCAGUAGAAGUAGUUUGAGAAUAAAAGAAGUAUAAGUCACAAUAGUAGAGAAAGUAGAAAUAGGAGCAAUAGUAGUUGAAGUAGAGGGGAUAGUACUAGUUUAAUUGACAUUAGCGGUAGUUGUCGUACUUGAGGUAGGAUUUUGUUUGAAGGAUGGAGUAAUGCAUAAAUAUUAAAACUUAUUUCAAACAGGGAAAAUUGAAAUAAUUAAAAAUCCUCAAGAAUCAGAAAGUUUUUAAGUAUUAGAAAGGUUUGAAUCAGUUUGAAUGAGUUUCAACUAGUUUGAAAAAUAAAUGAUAAAUCAUCACUGAGUGACUUUAAAAUGUGAAAAAUUUAAAUGAAUAUAAAUCCUAAAUACACCCCAUAAUGUCCUCAAUGAGCUUAAAUUUUAAAGCCCUGAAUGGUUUCUGUAGGUCAAAGGUCAUGUGAGGAGAUAGGGGCUGAAGUUUUUUCAAGCACUCUAGGAAAGGGUUUUAAGUGUCAUCCCCAGUGCUAUGCGUACUAAGCCUGGCUUCAUGUGUCUCAUAUGGCCAUUAGAAGCAGCUUUCCAGUCAGCUGUGUGUCUCCAGGUGCACAAAUAUGUUGCCAUGGGGACCUUGGAUGCAUAACUAUAGCCGGAGAAAGAAGGCUUGAAGCUAAAGAAACAGGACUCCAAGUAGGCCCUGACGCUCACCCUCUGUAUAUAUUCAUAAGGAGCUUGUGAGAACACAAGACUCUGCUGAACACAUUAAUACAAUUUAUUAUCACAAUCCUCAAAACACCCCAUAAUGUCUUCAAUGAGCUGAAUUUUUGAAGCCCAGAAUGGUUUCUGUAGCUCAAAGUUUGUGGGUGGAGAUAGGUGGUGAAGCAGACACAUAUUAACUGUGUGUACAAGCAGCUGAACUGCAAGGUGGACCUCAAAAAGCAACAAGUACAAGAAUGUGUGUGCGUGUGUGUGUGUGUGUGUGUGUCUCGUUAAUGACUGCAUCCUAAACAGCUGUGAGAUCAAAGGCAAAUCACUAACCUACUGUUUGACUGAGAGGUGCUGAACUGCAGUGAAUUUCAGCCUGUGAACUUCUUCACAUAGCGUGAUUUCCUUAAGUCCCAGAAUGAAAAUAAGAACAUCGUACGAAUCCCCCGUCCUUCAUGAACACAAUGAUGUGUUUUUCAUGUCUCUACUUCGAAAAAUGAGGCCACAACAGCGAGUUAAAAAAGUCUGAGCCUGAGCGAUGAUCCGGAUUUUCUUGGAGAGAAAUAACAUUACAGUCAAUGGGAGAGAUUUCCGCCUUUUUUGGACAGUUGGUCACCUGCUGGCCAAGGGGUACGAUUUAAUGAUUUGAAACCUCUUUUGUGAGAAGCAGGACACAUAUACCUCCAUUUUGAUGUAUUAUUUGUGUCAGUGGAGUGAGAUUUGUGGGCGUGGGAGCGAUAUAUUCGAGCGAGGUUCUGUCGAUCAGAGACGAGGUCUGCACUCUAGCUGAUGACAUCAUCACUCUAAACUCUCCAAUACACACCCAUUAUAAAGCUUGAAAUUUGCUGAAAACCACAAGUUGCUUAAAGCUAAAUUGUGGAAGAACUGUAGAAGAUAUCAAAAAACUGAGUACAACUAUAAUAGUCGACAAGUGAAUGAACAUUUUAAAGCAAAAAUGAGGUCUCUAGGUGAAAGUAUGCUGAAGUUAUAAGACUUUGAAGGUGGAAGAAAAAAAGGAAGAAGUGGAAGAUUUCCCCAUUGACUUCAAUGUUAAAAUUUUUGCACAAAAAGUUAAAAAUAUCAAAAAGUAUAAAGGGUAGAAGAGUAAAAAGUAAUAGCCAUCAUGUCCUGAAGGAGUGGAAUAGUUUAAAGUUUGAACGGUUGAAAUCGGACAAAGUUUGAAGGAGGAGAAGCGCGGCAAAAAACGGCGGAAGAAUAAUAAGAAGAAUAAAGAAACAGGAGAAUAACAAUAAGUGGAAAUGCUUAAUCAGCAUUUCCACUUAAUAACUAGAAAAAUUGCAUUUCCUUGCAGAAAAUGCGUGGAAAUGCUGAGUGCUGAAAGCUGAAAAAGCAAUGCUAAACUGCUAAUAAAACAUGGAGAAAUGUAUAAAUGUUAAAGCUGUUGAAGGGGUGUGAAAGAAAUGUAAGUUGGAUAAUUGAUUAAUUGGUUGAAGGACAAAUAGUAUGAAUAUGCUCUAUAAAAAGAAAUUUUAUUCAUCCUGAAAGAGGCUAGAAAAAUGUCUAAAAUUGCACAAAGUUUGAAUGAAGAAGGAAAUUGCCUUUAAAGGCAGGAAGGUGAGAAGUGGCAUAAGUUUAAGUUGUAGUACUAGAAGAAGUAUGAUAAGAAGUCAAGUCGUGAUACUAGUAGUCAUGUCAGCAGUAGAAGUAGAUUGAGAAUAAAAGAAGUAUAAGUCAAAGUAGUAAAGAAAGUAGAAAUAGUAGCAAUAGCAGCAGUAGAGAAAGUAGAAAUAGGAGCAAUAGCAGUUGAAGUAGAGGGGAAAGUUCUAGUUUAAUUGACAUAAGUAGUUGUAGUACUAGAGGUAGGAUUUUGUUUGAAGGACGGAUUAAUGCAUAAAUAUUAAAAAUAAUAUAAAACAGGGAAAAUUUUAUUAAUUAAAAAUCCUCAAGUAUCAGACAGUUUUUAAGUAUUAGAAAGGUUUGAAUCAUUUUGAAUGAGUUUAAAUUAGUUUGAAAAAUUAAAUGAUAAAUUAUCACUGAGUGACUUUAAAAUGUGAAACAUUUAAAUGAAUAUAAAUCCUAAAUACACCCCAUAAUGUCCUCAAUGAGCUUAAAUUUUAAAGCCCUGAAUGGUUUCUGUAGGUCAAAGGUCAUGUGAGGAGAUAGGGGCUGAAGGUUUUUCAAGCGCUCUAGGAAAGGGUUUUAAGUGUCAUCCCCAGUGCUAUGUGUACUGAGCCUGGCUUCAUGUGUCUCAUAUGGCCAUUAGAAGCAGCUUUCCAGUCAGCUGUGUGUCUCCAGGUGCACAAAUUGGUUGCCAUGGGGACCUUGGAUGAAUAACUAUAGCAGGAGAAAGAAGGCUUGAAGCUAAGGAAACAGGAGUCCAAGUAGGCCCUGACGCUCAUCCUCUGUAUCUAUUCCUGAUAAGGAGCUUGUGAGAACACAAGACUCUGCUAAACACAUUAAUACAAUUUAUUAUCACAAUCCUCAAAACACCCCAUAAUAUCUUCAAUGAGCUGAAUUUUUGAAGCCCAGAAUGGUUUCUGUAGCUCAAAGUUUGUGGGUGGGGAUAGGUGGCGAAGCAGACACAUAUUAACUGUGUGUACAAGCAGCUGAACUGCAAGGUAGACCUCAUAAAGCAACAAGUACAAGAAUGUGUGUGUGUGUGUGUGUGUGUGUCUCGUUAAUGACUGCAUCCUAAACAGCUGUGAGAUCAAAGGCAAAUCACUGACCUACUGUUUGAAUGAGAAGCAGCUGAACUGCAGAGGAUUUAGAGGCUCUAAACUUCUUCACAUAGCGUGAUUUCCUUAAGUCACAGAAUGAAAAUAAGAACAUCGUACGAAUCCUCCGCCCUUCAUGAACACAAUGAUGUAUUUUUCAUGUCUGUACUCCGACAAAUGUGGCCACAACAGCGAGUUAAAAAAGUCUGAGCCUGAGCGAUGAUCCGGAUUUUCUUGGAGAAAAAUAACAUUAUGGUCAAUGGGAGAGAUUUCCGCCUUCUUUGGACAGUUGGUCACCUGCUGGCCAAGGGGUACGAUUUAAUGAUUUGAAACCUCUUUUGUGAGAAGCAGGACACAUAUACCUCCAUUUUGAUGUAUUAUUUGUGUCAGUGGAGUGAGAUUUGUGGGCGUGGGAGCGAUAUAUUCGAGCGAGGUUCUGUCGAUCAGAGACGAGGUCUGCACUCUAGCUGAUGACAUCAUCACUCUAAACUCUCCAAUACACACCCAUUAUAAAGCCUGAAAAUUUGCUGAAAACCACAAGUUGCUUAAAGCUAAAUUGUGGAAAAACUGUACAAGAUAUCAAAAAACUGAGUACAACUAUAAUAGUCGACAAGUGAAUGAACAUUUUAAAGCAAAAAUGAGGUCUCUAGGUGAAAGUAUGCUGAAGUUAUAAGGUCUAGAAGGUGGAAGAAUAAAAGGAAGAAGUGGAAGAUUUCCCCAUUGACUUCAAUGUUAAAAUUUUUGCACAAAAAGUUAAAAAAAACAAAAAGUAUAAAGGGUAGAAAGAAAAAAAAUACAAGCACACAUGUCCUGAAGGAGUGGAAUAGUUUAAAGUUUGAAUGGUUGAAAUCGGACAAAGUUUGAAGGAGGAGAAGCGUGACAAAAAACGGCGGAAGAAUAAAAAUAAGAUUAAAGAAACAGGAGAAUAACAAUAAGUGGAAAUGCUUAAUCAGCAUUUCCACUUAAUAAAGAAAAAUGGCCGACAGGAAUAACAAUAAGUGGAAAUGCUUAAUCAGCAUUUCCACUUAAUAAUAAAGAAAAAUGGCCGACAGGAAUAACAAUAAGUGGAAAUGCUUAAUCAGCAUUUCCACUUAAUAAAGAAAAAUGGCCGACAGGAAUAACAAUAAGUGGAAAUGCUUAAUCAGCAUUUCCACUUAACUAGAAAAAUUGCAUUUCCUUGCAGAAAAUGCGUGGAAAUGCUGAGUGCUGAAAGCUGAAAAAGCAAUGCUAAACUGCUAAUAAAACAUGGAGAAAGGUAUAAAUGUUAAAGCUGUUGAAGGGGUGAACAGAAAUAUAAGUUGGAUAAUUGAUUAAUUGGUUGAAGGACAAAUAGUAUGAAUAUGCUCUAUAAAAGGAAAUUUUAUUCAUGCUGAAAGAGGCUAGAAAAAUGUCGAAAAUUGCACAAAGUUUGAAUGAAGAAGGAAAUUGCCUUAAAAGGCAGGAAGGUGAGAAGUGGCAUAAGUUUAAAUUGUAGUACUAGAAGUAGUAUGAUAAAAAGUCAAGUUGUGAUACUAGUAGUCAUGUCAGCAGUAGAAGUAGAUUGAGAAUAAAAGAAGAAUAAGUCAAAGUAGUAAAGAAAGUAGAAAUAGGAGCAAUAGCAGUUGAAGUAGAGGGGAAAGUUCUAGUUUAAUUGACAUUAGCAGUAGUUGUCGUACUUGAGGUAGGAUUUUGUUUGAAUGAUGGAGUAAUGCAUAAAUAUUAAAACUAGUAUCAGAAAGUUUUGAAGUAUUAGAAAGGUUUGAAUCAGUUUGAAUGAGUUUAAAUUAGUUUGAAAAAUUAAAUGAUAAAUCAUCACUGACUGACUUUUAAAAUGUGAAAAAUUUAAAUGAAUAACAAUCCUAAAUACACCCAAUAAUGUCCUCAAUGAGCUUAAAUUUCAAAGCCCUGAAUGGUUUCUGUAGGUCAAAGGUCAUGUGAGGAGCUAGGGGCUGAAGUUUUUUCCAACGCUCUAGGAAAAGGUUUUAAGUGUCAUCCCAAUUGCUAUGUGUACUGAGCCUGGCUUCAUGUGUCUCAUAUGGCCACUAGAAGCAGCUUUCCAGUCAGCUGUGUGUCUCCAGGUGCACAAAUUGGUUGCCAUGGGGACCUUGGAUGCAUAACUAUAGCAGGAGAAAGAAGGCUUGAAGCUAAAGAAACAGGACUCCAAGUAGGCCCUGACGCUCACCCUCUGUAUAUAUUCAUAAGGAGCUUGUGAGAACACAAGACUCUGCUGAACACAUUAAUACAAUUUAUUAUCACAAUCCUCAAAACACCCCAUAAUAUCUUCAAUGAGCUGAAUUUUAGAAGCCCAGAAUGGUUUCUGUAGCUCAAAGUUUGUGGGUGGAGAUAGGUGGCGAAGCAGACACAUAUUAACUGUGUGUACAAGCAGCUGAACUGCAAGGUAGACCUCAUAAAGCAACAACUACAAGAAUGUGUGUGUGUGUGUGUGUGUGUGUCUCGUUAAUGACUGCAUCCUAAACAGCUGUGAGAUCAAAGGCAAAUCACUGACCUACUGUUUGAAUGAGAAGCAGCUGAACUGCAGAGGAUUUAGAGGCUCUAAACUUCUUCACAUAGCGUGAUUUCCUUAAGUCCCAGAAUGAAAAUAAGAACAUCGUACGAAUCCUCCGCCCUUCAUGAACACAAUGAUGUCUUUUUCAUGUCUGUACUCCGAAAAAUGUGGCCACAACAGCGAGUUAAAAAAGUCUGAGCCUGAGUGGGGAUAAGGAUUUUCUUGGAGAAGAAAUACAUUAGGUCUAAUGGGGAGAGAUUUCCGCCUAUUUGGACAGUUGGUCACCUGCUGGCCAAGGGGUAAGAUUUAAUGAUUUGAAACCUCUUUUGUGAGAAGCAGGACACAUAUACCUCCAUUUUGAUGUAUUUUUUAUGGGUGUGGAUUGAGAUUUGUGAGCGUGGGAGCGAUAUAUUCGAGCGAGGUUCUGUCGAUCAGAGACGAGGUCUGCACUCUAGCUUUUCAAAUCAUCACUCUAGCCUCUCCAAUACACCCCUAUUAUAAAGCCUGAAAUUUGCUGAAAACCACAAGUUGCUUGAAGCUAAAUUGUGGAAAAACUGUAAAAUAUAGCACAAAAAGGUUAAUACAAUAUCAAUAGUCGACAAGACAAUGAACAUUUUAAAGCAAAAAUGAGGUCUCUAGGUGAAAGUAUGCUGAAGUUAUAAGGCUUAGAAGGUGGACGAAUAACAGGAAGAAUUGAAAGAUUUCCCCAUUCAUUUCUAUGGGAAAAAAAGUUUGGCACAAAAAGUGAAAAAUAAUAAAAAGUAUAAAGGGUAGAAAAAAGAAAAGUAAUAGCCAUCAUGUCCUGAAGGAGUGGAAUCGUUUAAAGUUUGAACGGUUGAAAUGGGACAAAGUUUGAAGGAGGAGAAGCGGUCCAAAGAAACGUAUGGGGAGAGUGUUAAGUAUAAUACUAGAAAAAUUGCAUUUCCUUGCAGAAAAUGCGUGGAAAUGCUGAGUGCUGAAAGCUGAAAAAGCAAUGCUAAACUGCUAAUAAAACAUGGAGAAAGGUAUAAAUGUUAAAGCUGUUGAAGGGGUGAUAAAGAAAUAUACGUUAGAUAAUUGUUUAAUUGGUCGAAGGACAAAUCGUCUGAAUCUGCUCUAUAAAAGGAAAUUUUAUUCAUGCUGAAAGAGGCUUGAAAAAUGUCUAAAAUUGCACAAAGUUUGAAUGAAGAAGGAAAUUGCCUUAAAAGGCAGGAAGGUGAGAAGUGGCAUAAGAUUCAGUUGUAGUACUAGAAGUAGUAUGAUGAGAAGUCAAGUCGUGAUACUAGUAGUCAUGUCAGCAGUAGAAGUAGAUUGAGGAUAAAAGAAGUAUAAGUCAAAGUAGUAGACAAAGUAGAAAUAGUAGCAAUAGCAGCAGUAGAGAAAGUAGAAAUAGGAGCAAUAGCAGUUGAAGUAGAGGGGAAAGUACUAGUUUAAUUGACAUUAGCAGUAGUUGUAGUACUAGAGGUAGGAUUUUGUUUGAAGGACGGAAUAAUGCAUAAAUAUUAAAACUAAUAUAAAACAGGGAACAUUUUAUUAAUUAAAAAUCCUCAAGUAUCAG